rnacentral:lncRNA from 1 species
AAUAAAUUAUCUUCCAAAACAAUUAGAAAUAAUGGGGUAAUUAAUUAUUGUGUUAUUUUUAUAUACCUACUUUUUCUUUUUCUGCAUUUUAAUCACUCCUUUUUUACUCAUAUUAGGUUCUUUCUUCGAGUUCAUACUGCUAUAUCAAAAUGGCCAUUUUUUUUUUUUUUUUGUGCUGCUUAUAUUUUUAGUAACUUAGAAAUUUAUCAGUACAAUAUUUGGAUGGGAAAAAAUGAAGAUAAAGACUUAAAAACAUUUUUGCACCAUGAUUAUCAUGACAAUAUAUAUGUACUAUUGAAAGGAAAGAAAAUAUUUAGGAUUUAUAGCCCCAAUUUCGCAAAAUUGUUAAAAACAAAUGGAAAUAUAUAUCGUAUUUAUAAUAAUGGAUUAAUCACAUACUCCCCAUUUAUUAGAAGUGACGGUAGGAUCUAA